rnacentral:rRNA from 1 species
AGUGAACGCUGGCGGUAGGCCUAACACAUGCAAGUCGAACGGCAGCACAGGAGAGCUUGCUCUCUGGGUGGCGAGUGGCAGACGGGUGAGGAAUACAUCGGAAUCUACUCUGUCGUGGGGGAUAACGUAGGGAAACUUACGCUAAUACCGCAUACGACCUACGGGUGAAAGCAGGGGACCUUCGGGCCUUGCGCGAUUGAAUGAGCCGAUGUCGGAUUAGCUAGUUGGCGGGGUAAAGGCCCACCAAGGCGACGAUCCGUAGCUGGUCUGAGAGGAUGAUCAGCCACACUGGAAAUGAGACACGGUCCAGACUCCUACGGGAGGCAGCAGUGGGGAAUAUUGGACAGUGGGCGCAAGCCUGAUCCAGCCAUACCGCGUGGGUGAAGAAGGCCUUCGGGUUGUAAAGCCCUUUUGUUGGGAAAGAAAUCCAGCUGGCUAAUACCCGGUUGGGAUGACGGUACCCAAAGAAUAAGCACCGGCUAACUUCGUGCCAGCCGCCGCAGUAA